UAUUCUGGCUGCUGUCCUCCUGGCAGGACCCAGCUGACCAAGGUAUUUAUUCCACAAGGGAGGUCGGCUGUGUUCUGGAGAACACAGGGGCCCUAAAGGACUCACCCAGGUGGCCCCCACCAAGACCACCCUUCAUUCACAUAAACACUCGGCACCCCACCAGAGACAACUUUAAGGCUUGAGGCAGGAUGGCUCAGCAGGAGAUUCUUCUGGCCUCUGGCUGUGAGGGUCCAGCCUCAGCAGGUGCUGUGUGUAUGUUUGUGAGAUGGGGCGAAUGCCAGAAGAAGUCAGGCCUGUCAGAGGCGGGUCUACAGAGCGGCAGACGGGGUGGGUGGUGGGCUCUGGGAGGUGCUGCAGGGGGCUGAGGAGGCUGGGAGCCACAGGAUCUAGUAGCCAUGCUGUCUGCUCUGGGUCCCACGGUUGCCGGCAGAAAACAAGGGUACAGGAAGGGAGGAGAAGAGCGACAUCGGCAUCUCGGCCUCAGCUCUCCCCCCACCGGAGCCUUCUCUGCCCUCUUCAGUCCAGAGGCCCAGACCUGCGCUGCCUCCUCCCCGGAGCCCUGGAGCUACACAGCACCUUCUCUGCGGGUCUUUCCCUCCCAGAGGUUCAUCUUUGUCCACGUAGGACAGGUAGGCUGUGGAGGGGUCACAUCGUCCAAGACACAAGUUCAGCUGUGGCCCUGAGGUGUCCCUGGCUCUGGUCAGAGUUGAGCCGGGCAGGCGGGGAGUCUGGUUAGCGGCUUACAGUUUGCGGCAGGGACACGGCAGGGAACUGGAGCCCAGGAAACCCCACUGCGGAGAAGCCGGGUCAACGGUGGGCCGUGGCCCAUUGUGCCCUCGGAACGGCCGCAGCUCGUCAGGCAUGGGCACAGGCGGAACAUUCCUGUGCCUGGUGUCACCACACUCGGCUCCAUGCUGCCCCGGGUGCUCUGCCAACGGAGUACCCAAGUGCAGCCCCCCCUUCCUGGUGACUGACGCUGCCUUGGCCAGAAGCCCAUGUGCUGGACAAAGAGGCAGAAAAGAGGCAGAAAAGGCAGGAUUUCUGCUGGUCACCGACUUCCACCUCUGGGGUCAAGCCAGCCCCACAUCCUGUGUGUGCUGACAUCACAAUACACGGUCAGUGUGGCUGACUCUUGCCUCCUUCUCACCACCAAGUCAUCACCUCUCUUCUACAGAUGGGGAAACUGAGGCACAAGAGGGCAUCUGCCUUAUAUCAGAAGCUGGAAAUGAGUUGAGCCAGGUCUUGAACCCAGAACAUAGCAAGCCCAGAUCCAUGCGUGUCCUGUCCAUACCCCCCCAGGCACCCCAAAGCCCUCCAGGGCAUCCUGUAGAGGAAUCCGCCUAGCUAUUUCUUGGGUUCCUUCCUGAGGGUAGCUUGGGAGCCCAUGCUCCCAAGAGCCACUGCAGAACCCAGAGCCACCCCUCAUCCUGCAGAGAGAGAGAGAGGAGGUGCAGAGUGGGCUCACGGCAGACAGAUGGCAUAAGGCGGGCCUGGCACGGUUCUCAGAGAGUGCUUGGAAGCAGACAGGAGACAGGACAGAGGCCAGGCUGCAGGGUCAGUGGGAGACCAUAGGAACGACACACCCGGCUGGCACCUGGCGGGUAUAAGGCUCCUCCUUGGGAGGUGAGGGAUGUCCCCCAAAGCAGCUGGGAGAGGAGUGUCCCCCAUA